AAAACUUUAGUUUAAAAAAAAUAAAAAAAUAAUGAAAACUUUAUUGCCGUUUACUGGGUACGGCCGCGUAUUGCAGACACAAAAAGCAUCGAUUUUCAUUUUUGGAGAGAGAGGAGAGAGAGAGGGAUGAGUGAAACCUCGGGAAGGAGAUCGUUCCGUGUUCUUCUUUUCCUCUCAUCUGUUUUCGCACAAAUCAUCUCAGCCUUUUCAGAUGACAAAUCAAGUUCCAAAAAUGGCAAGUCUGACACCCAUGCCACUUCUAGUAGCAGCAAUGCAUCUAGGAUAGUCAUCAUAUGCCUUGCACUUGUGGCAGUUGGGCUGUUUUCAUUUUUUCUUUUCAAAAUAUGGCAAAAGAAGAAAAGAGAGGAGCAGUAUGCUCGCCUUUUGAAGUUAUUUGAAGAGGAUGAUGAGCUUGAGCUUGAACUUGGUCUUCGAGAUUGAACGUGCAUCUUUCUAAAGUUGGAAUUGAAUAUAUUAGAGAUCUUGAAGGUCAUUCAUUAGUUGAGAAACUAGUUAGAUUGGCAUCCAGGAUUGAUUUGUGGGUUGUUAGCGAUGUCCUAUAAUGAGGUCAGCCAUUUUUUACUGAUAAAUUGUAGAAUUGUAAUGAUAAUGCCCAAACAUACAUUUAUGUAUUGAGUUAUAAUUUUUUGUGAAGUGUCUGGAGGGUCUCACUCAUUUUGUAAAGAUGCUCUUUUAUUUUAUUUCACAUGAUUAUUUGCUUUCAA